AGAGUUUGAUCAUGGCUCAGAUUGAACGCUGGCGGUAUGCUUAACACAUGCAAGUCGAACGGUAACAGGCUAGCUUGCUAGCGCUGACGAGUGGCGGACGGGCGCGUAACGCGUAGGAAUCUGCCUAUUAGUGGGGGACAACAUGGUGAAAACCAUGCUAAUACCGCAUACGCCCUACGGGGGAAAGCAGGGGAUCUUCGGACCUUGCGCUAAUAGAUGAGCCUGCGUUAGAUUAGCUUGUUGGUGAGGUAAUGGCUCACCAAGGCGACGAUCUAUAGCUGGUCUGAGAGGACGAUCAGCCACACUGGGACUGAGACACGGCCCAGACUCCUACGGGAGGCAGCAGUGGGGAAUAUUGGACAAUGGACGAAAGUCUGAUCCAGCAAUACCGCGUGUGUGAAGAAGGCCUGAGGGUUGUAAAGCACUUUCAAUUGGGAGGAAAACAGGCAGGUUAAUAUCCUGUCUCUUGACA
rnacentral:rRNA from 1 species